UUAAGCGACUAAGCGUACACGGUGGAUGCCCUGGCAGUCAGAGGCGAUGAAGGACGUGCUAAUCUGCGAAAAGCGUCGGUAAGGUGAUAUGAACCGUUAUAACCGGCGAUGUCCGAAUGGGGAAACCCAGUGCAAUUCGUUGCACUAUCGUUAACUGAAUACAUAGGUUAACGAGGCGAACCGGGGGAACUGAAACAUCUAAGUACCCCGAGGAAAAGAAAUCAACCGAGAUUCCCCCAGUAGCGGCGAGCGAACGGGGAGCAGCCCAGAGUCUGAAUCAGCUUGUGUGUUAGUGGAACGGUCUGGAAAGUCCGACGGUACAGGGUGAUAGUCCCGUACACCAAAAUGCACAGGUUGUGAACUCGAAGAGUAGGGCGGGACACGUGGUAUCCUGUCUGAAUAUGGGGGGACCAUCCUCCAAGGCUAAAUACUCCUGACUGACCGAUAGUGAACCAGUACCGUGAGGGAAAGGCGAAAAGAACCCCGGCGAGGGGAGUGAAAAAGAACCUGAAACCGUGUACGUACAAGCAGUGGGAGCACCUUCGGGUGUGACUGCGUACCUUUUGUAUAAUGGGUCAGCGACUUAUAUUCUGUAGCAAGGUUAACCGUAUAGGGGAGCCGCAGGGAAACCGAGUCUUAACUGGGCGUUAAGUUGCAGGGUAUAGACCCGAAACCCGGUGAUCUAGCCAUGGGCAGGUUGAAGGUUGGGUAACACUAACUGGAGGACCGAACCGACUAAUGUUGAAAAAUUAGCGGAUGACUUGUGGCUGGGGGUGAAAGGCCAAUCAAACCGGGAGAUAGCUGGUUCUCCCCGAAAGCUAUUUAGGUAGCGCCUCGUGAAUUCAUCUUCGGGGGUAGAGCACUGUUUCGGCUAGGGGGUCAUCCCGACUUACCAACCCGAUGCAAACUACGAAUACCGAAGAAUGUUAUCACGGGAGACACACGGCGGGUGCUAACGUCCGUCGUGAAGAGGGAAACAACCCAGACCGCCAGCUAAGGUCCCAAAGUCAUGGUUAAGUGGGAAACGAUGUGGGAAGGCACAGACAGCCAGGAUGUUGGCUUAGAAGCAGCCAUCAUUUAAAGAAAGCGUAAUAGCUCACUGGUCGAGUCGGCCUGCGCGGAAGAUGUAACGGGGCUAAACCAUGCACCGAAGCUGCGGCAGCGACACUAUGUGUUGUUGGGUAGGGGAGCGUUCUGUAAGCCUGCGAAGGUGACCUGUGAGGGUUGCUGGAGGUAUCAGAAGUGCGAAUGCUGACAUAAGUAACGAUAAAGCGGGUGAAAAGCCCGCUCGCCGGAAGACCAAGGGUUCCUGUCCAACGUUAAUCGGGGCAGGGUGAGUCGACCCCUAAGGCGAGGCCGAAAGGCGUAGUCGAUGGGAAACAGGUUAAUAUUCCUGUACUUGGUGUUACUGCGAAGGGGGGACGGAGAAGGCUAUGUUAGCCGGGCGACGGUUGUCCCGGUUUAAGCAUGUAGGCUGAUUGUCCAGGCAAAUCCGGAUAAUCAAGGCUGAGGUGUGAUGACGAGGCACUACGGUGCUGAAGUAACAAAUGCCCUGCUUCCAGGAAAAGCCUCUAAGCAUCAGGUAACAUUAAAUCGUACCCCAAACCGACACAGGUGGUCAGGUAGAGAAUACCAAGGCGCUUGAGAGAACUCGGGUGAAGGAACUAGGCAAAAUGGUGCCGUAACUUCGGGAGAAGGCACGCUGGUGUGUAGGUGAAGUCCCUGCGGAUGGAGCUGAGACCAGUCGAAGAUACCAGCUGGCUGCAACUGUUUAUUAAAAACACAGCACUGUGCAAACACGAAAGUGGACGUAUACGGUGUGACGCCUGCCCGGUGCCGGAAGGUUAAUUGAUGGGGUUAUCCGUAAGGAGAAGCUCUUGAUCGAAGCCCCGGUAAACGGCGGCCGUAACUAUAACGGUCCUAAGGUAGCGAAAUUCCUUGUCGGGUAAGUUCCGACCUGCACGAAUGGCGUAAUGAUGGCCAGGCUGUCUCCACCCGAGACUCAGUGAAAUUGAACUCGCUGUGAAGAUGCAGUGUACCCGCGGCAAGACGGAAAGACCCCGUGAACCUUUACUAUAGCUUGACACUGAACAUUGAGCCUUGAUGUGUAGGAUAGGUGGGAGGCUUUGAAGCGUGGACGCCAGUCUGCGUGGAGCCAACCUUGAAAUACCACCCUUUAAUGUUUGAUGUUCUAACGUUGGCCCCUUAUCGGGGUUGCGGACAGUGUCUGGUGGGUAGUUUGACUGGGGCGGUCUCCUCCCAAAGCGUAACGGAGGAGCACGAAGGUUAGCUAAUCCUGGUCGGACAUCAGGAGGUUAGUGCAAUGGCAUAAGCUAGCUUGACUGCGAGCGUGACGGCGCGAGCAGGUGCGAAAGCAGGUCAUAGUGAUCCGGUGGUUCUGAAUGGAAGGGCCAUCGCUCAACGGAUAAAAGGUACUCCGGGGAUAACAGGCUGAUACCGCCCAAGAGUUCAUAUCGACGGCGGUGUUUGGCACCUCGAUGUCGGCUCAUCACAUCCUGGGGCUGAAGUAGGUCCCAAGGGUAUGGCUGUUCGCCAUUUAAAGUGGUACGCGAGCUGGGUUUAGAACGUCGUGAGACAGUUCGGUCCCUAUCUGCCGUGGGCGCUGGAGAAUUGAGGGGGGCUGCUCCUAGUACGAGAGGACCGGAGUGGACGCAUCACUGGUGUUCGGGUUGUCAUGCCAAUGGCACUGCCCGGUAGCUAAAUGCGGAAGAGAUAAGUGCUGAAAGCAUCUAAGCACGAAACUUGCCCCGAGAUGAGUUCUCCCUGAGACUUUAAGUCUCCUGAAGGAACGUUAAAGACGAUGACGUUGAUAGGCCGGGUGUGUAAGCGCAGCGAUGCGUUGAGCUAACCGGUACUAAUGAACCGUGAGGCUUAACCUU
rnacentral:rRNA from 1 species